rnacentral:misc_RNA from 1 species
CCCAGCUUAUCGCUGGCGGUCUCCUGCGAGUUCCGUCUUUCGACAUGGCAACACAGGACAAGGGUUGCGCUCGUUGCGGGACUUAACCCAACAUCUCACGACACGAGCUGACGACAGCCAUGCAGCACCUGUCUCCAGGUUCCCGAGGGCACCCCCGUAUCUCUACAGGGUUCCUGGGAUGUCAAGACCAGGUAAGGUUCUUCGCGUUGCGUCGAAUUAAACCACAUGCUCCACCGCUUGUGCGGGCCCCCGUCAAUUCCUUUGAGUUUCAACCUUGCGGUCGUACUCCCCAGGCGGAACACUUAAUGCGUUAGCUGCGGCACUGGAGGGGUCGAUGCCUCCAACACCUAGUGUUCACCGUUUACGGCCAGGACUAC